AGUUUUGUCAUCUAUACAAAUGGGAAUAAUAAUAGUACCUACUUCGUGGGAUUGUUGUGAUUAAAUGAAAUAGUAUAUGGUGCAGCCUGGCAAAAGAUCCAGGUUUUAGCCUGUGAACCUGGGCCUGACUAUGGGUUCAGGGCAUACAAAGGGCUACUCCUCCGUACUCUUGAGCACUGGGAAGGCACUGGGAGGGCUCUGGCUUUGGUGGUGGAUUCUGGGGGAGGGGGUCCUGGGAAUAGGGAUCUGAGAGGGCUGGUACAGAAAAGGCAAUGGUCUGCCCCAGCUUUCAUGACUGGGGCCCCAAGGGAGCAGCUUCCAGGCCUUUGGUCCGGGAGAAGGAAUUUCCACUCAGGGCUCCAGGUAUGGACAGAGGGAACAGAAACAGGACCCCUAACCAAUCACUUCUGACCUGGGGGAGGGUAGAUUUCUGGAAGCUAAGUGGGGGUUGUCUUAAAAAAAAGGGUGACCUUGUCUGGGGCACGCUGCCCUGCAAGGGCACUGUGCUUGACUUUGGCUCAGUGCAUAGACUGGGCUCUGGAGACCAGCUGGGGUUAGAGAACUAGACUCUACUUCCUGCAGCCCUGCUGACGUCUUGGCCGUGACCUCCUGGGAUCAGACUCGUGUCCUCCUGCGAUCAGGACCCUGCGGAACUUUCCCAAGAUGGGUCCUCCGAGCCUGGCUGCGGUUGCACUCCUCCUGGAGCUACUGAUAACGAGGGUGGGCGCGGAGGUCGAGACCUGAGGAAACCGGCCGAUACCACUGGAGGGCGCGCGCCGGUCGGAGAGGCUAGGUGGUGACGCCUCUCCUAUACAUCUGCCUUCUACAACGACAAGUUUGUUCCAACUGUGACGAAAGGGAAGAGGAAUUUGUGAAAGUCACCAAUACUGUACCAUCACAUUGAUGUGAGACCUCUUGCCAGGAGCUCAUAGAAGACAGUGACCUGGUGCAGUGGAAAGCACAAGACUUUCGGCCAUGGCAACAAAGGACCUUGUGCUCACUACAGCAGAGCAUCCUGUCUUUGUCCAGCCCAGUCCAGUACAUCAGUCUCUGCAAAUAACAAAAGAUGUGGCCACUCGGCCGCCUGUCGGUGCCGCCACCAGAGCACUGAGAAAGGUUGAGGCCUCUCCAACUGGAACUGAACUAGGAGAGCAGCAGACAGACAGGAAGCCCCCUGUAGCAGGAACUGAUUCAACCUUUGCUCCUUUAGCCCUCAGUAGAUGGAAAUGCUGAAGCUCCUACGUCCUCUGUGCUUCUCUUUCUGAACACUCUUCCCUGGUGGUUGGCAAUCUGCCUGCCAAUGCAGGGGACACGGGUUCAAGCCCUGGUCCAGGAAGAUCUCACAUGCCGCGGAGCAACUAAGCCCAUGCACCACAACUACUGAGCCUGUGCUCUAGAGCCCGCGAGCCACAACUACUGAGCCCACGUGCCACAACUACUGAAGCCCACGCACCUAGAGCCCGUGCUCGGCAACAAGAGCAGGCACCACAGUGAGAAGCCUGCACACCACAACGAAGAGUAGCCCCCGCUUGCCGCAACUAGAGAAAGCCUGCGUACAGCAACGAAGACCCAAGGCAGCCAAAAAAAA